rnacentral:rRNA from 1 species
UACGGGGGGGGCAAGCGUUGUUCGGAAUUACUGGGCGUAAAGGGCUCGUAGGCGGCCAACUAAGUCAGACGUGAAAUCCCUCGGCUUAACCGGGGAACUGCGUCUGAUACUGGAUGGCUUGAGUUUGGGAGAGGGAUGCGGAAUUCCAGGUGUAGCGGUGAAAUGCGUAGAUAUCUGGAGGAAUACCGGUGGCGAAGGCGGCAUCCUGGACCGGCAUUGACGCUGAAGCGCGAAAGCUAGGGGAGCAAACGGG